AGCGAACGCUGGCGGCAGGCUUAACACAUGCAAGUCGAACGGGCAUCUUCGGAUGUCAGUGGCAGACGGGUGCGUAACACGUGGGAACGUACCCUUCGGUUCGGAAUAACUCAGGGAAACUUGAGCUAAUACCGGAUACGCCCUUUUGGGGAAAGGUUUACUGCCGAAGGAUCGGCCCGCGUCUGAUUAGCUUGUUGGUGGGGUAACGGCCUACCAAGGCGACGAUCAGUAGCUGGUCUGAGAGGAUGCUCAGCCACACUGGGACUGAGACACGGCCCAGACUCCUACGGGAGGCAGCAGUGGGGAAUAUUGGACAAUGGGCGCAAGCCUGAUCCAGCCAUGCCGCGUGAGUGAUGAAGGCCUUAGGGUUGUAAAGCUCUUUUGUCCGGGACGAUAAUGACGGUACCGGAAGAAUAAGCCCCGGCUAACUUCGUG
rnacentral:rRNA from 1 species